AUGCGGCUAAUUCUUCUGGCGGGUCCUUUCGAAGGCUUUGGGAAACCCCAAAUUAUUUGUAAGUCCGGAGGACAGAAACCUUUCACGUGCCUGGAACGAACCCUGGCUCUGAACAUGCAAAGCGCUAUCGUCGAAGUCAAGGCGUCCGGGUCAUUCGGUUACUAAAGGCGUGCACGUUACACGGUGUCCCGACAGAAAAGUAGCGAGCGCAGUGUUUGAUGACUUGGCCCUGACCAGUGACACGGUCGAAAACCAGCGCAUGGACUCGGCUUCUCAAACAGACAGCGUGGUCGGCUGUGCCAGCUGUGCAAAAGUACAGACGUUGAAGCGCCAGCUUCGAGCCGCGAAAGCGCAGCUUCAAUAAUGUCAAGCGAAACUUGCCGAAUUCCGAGCGCAGAGGGCCAAGUACAAACGGCAACACCACAGCCUUCAAAGCCUUACAGAGCGCGAGAAAUUGAUUAUUGGUGAACAUGUGAAGAAUUCGAGCGCAAAGUCUGCACGGGCUCUGCGGUAAUC